rnacentral:rRNA from 1 species
UACAGAGGUGGCAAGCGUUGUUCGGAAUUACUGGGCGUAAAGGGCGCGUAGGCGGUCUUGUAAGUCUCGUGUGAAAUCCCUCGGCUUAACUGAGGAACUGCACGGGAUACUGCAUGACUUGAGAUCGGGAGAGGGAAGCGGAAUUCCGGGUGUAGCGGUGAAAUGCGUAGAUAUCAAGAGGAACACCUGCGGCGAAGGCGGGUUGCUGGGCUGACACUGACGCUGAGGCGCGAAAGCUAGGGGAGCGAACGGG